rfam:Salmo salar isolate Sally breed double haploid chromosome ssa10, whole genome shotgun sequence.
UGCAUUCACUACUGUAAAUCGCUCUGGAUAAGAGCGUCUGCUAAAUGACUCAAA